CAUCUACGGCUCUGGGUUUGUUUUGUUUUUGUUUCUGCUUUUAAGCCAUUUGGAAAAACCGGGGCGAGGCAAGAGAUACGAUUUGAAAUACAAGGUGACAGGGAGGAGAGUAGUUCUGGCUAAUUGAGCCAGAGUUCCCCCAAAGGCAGUUGUGGAUUUACCCCAACUGUCGCCCCCUGGCAUUUAGGUACUUACCACACAAAUUCUCGCAUUGAAUCCAGCGGUCUGUUAUGGGAAAAAUUGCUUCCUUCAAUUGACCGAGGAAGUUAAGAAACUGAGCCGAGAUCACCCUUGCAAAAGUGGGAGGGAAUUCAAACUCGCAGCCCACAGUCAUCAAGUUUUGCCCCUUCACUGAAGACCACGGGAACCACACUUAAGAGCAAAUAGACAAACCUAGAGGAAGGACUUUGAGAAAGGAUGGUUUUUAUGAUAAAAUACAUUGUCAUAUGAGGGAGAAGACUAAUUGAGGCCCAAACUAGAUAGUACCCCAAGACUUAGAAAGCCAAAGACCUAACAUGACAAAGUUCACAUCUUAAACCUAAGCCUAGAUGCUAUGAGGUUUUCAAUGUGCAAUUUCUGCUUGUCCAUGUGGGACAUAGGAACAGACAUGUCUGCUUGCAAACAAAUGUUCUGCCAUGGGUGAUUGGGCAGCCGAGCCAUGCCCGCCAUGGAAGGGCCAGAGGACCUGUGUCACCUAAAAGCCACCCAGCUAAAGGACUGAUAAUGCCCCACUCCCUUCCCACACCUUGAGAGCCAAUUUCCUGGGACUCCACCCAAGGCUUGACAGUCUCUAUGGAGUGGCUUGGCUUGGGGAAAGACCGCUGGAGCGACAUGAGGACAUGAUACAACAUCACACAUACAGUAAUGUGACCCGUGACAGUCUAGGCAGCAGCAUGGAACUAGUGACUUCAUGGGCUCAGCACUAAAAGUAUGACAUGGUGUAUGUCACUUCGCAUGGACUUCACUAAAGGGCUAGACUUAAUUCCUGAGAUUCCAAGCCCAGAGUAAAUCAUACUCAUCUUUCGGGAAGAAACAGGCGCCACCUGCUGGUAAGCUCCUUUCCUCCUGUGUCUGGCUCCUCUCCCUUCUGUCUUUCAAUGCUUUUAAAACUAGGCAUCAAGAUUAGUUUUUUUCGCCAUGUUCUAUGGGCUGUCUCUUCGCUCUGUUUCUUCCUUUGUGGUGGUGAAGCAUUUUAAUUUCGUUCAAUCUUGCUUGUCAGUUCUUACACUUAUUUCCCGUGGGCUUAGAGCUCUUUUCAGAAAAUCCUUGCCUCCUGUAUCAUGAAAGAUUUUCCUCUGACAGUUUAAGGUUUGUGGGUCUUACAUUUGGGGCUUUGCUACAUUUUGAAGUGAUUUUUCGGUAGGGUGAGAGACAGAGAAUCAAGCUUAAUUCUUCCACAUGUAGAAUCCAGUUUUCCCAGCACCAUGAUCUGGAGACCAUCUCUUGUCCAGUGUGUGCACGGAUUCAUUUCCAAGUCUUCUGUUCCUUUGAUUUACAUGUUUUUGUAGCAACACUGUGCUGUUUCUCUUCCUGUGGAUCUGUGGUCUUUAGAAUCACGAAUUGUGAUUCCUCCAGCAUUACCUUUUUAGUCAGGAUUGCUUUGACUAUCCAGCAUCUUUGGAAAUUUAGGUUGUUAAUGGCUAAAAUGUUCAAAAGAAAUACAAAAAAGUAAGAAGAAUGCAAAGCAACCAAUCCACUCAACAAAUGGGAAAAAGGAAUGAAUAGACACUUCUCAAAAGGAGAUGGACAUAUGUCACUGUUGGGGAAGCAGAGACAAGAAAAUGACAGUAAAUCUGAUCCAGCCUGCUCUAUGAAGCAAGUUCCAGGUCAGCCAGAGUUUCUCAGUGAUACUCCAUCUCAAAAAGGAAAGAAAAAGAAAACUUCAUAGUGGAAAGACAUCAGUGUCAUCAUAUCUCUGGUUGGCUGGAACUCACUAUACACGGUAGCCUCAAACUUGCAAUUCUCCCUGACUGCCUCAGCUUCCUGAAUGUUGGAGUUGCAGAUGGAAGUCACCAUACCUCACUUGUACCUGUCCUUUUAAUUCUUUUCCAUCAUAUGUUCCUGUCACCAUGAUGUUCUGCCCAACCACAUGGACCCAAACAACCAUGGACUGAACCCAUAAAACCAUGAGCCCAAAUAAAUGUGUCCUUUCAAAUUGUCUACAUCACUCAUCUGCCACAGCAACAAGAAAACCAAUAUAAUCUUUAACACAAGAGGUGAGCUCUGUCCUCAGAAACCUUCAGGGUCCAGACUGAGGACAUUUCUAACACUGUUCCAGUCACACAUCCCCAGGAUGUGUGUGUGCAUGCUUAGUGCAUCAUUUAUCCAACAAACACUGAUGGACAGCUCACACUGGGGUUCAAUGAUGAAUCUUCUUACUCCAGAAGCUCCCACAGUAUCAAGAGCACCGGAGAAGCAGGCAGACACAGCCUGACACAGACUUAAAGCCACAAACAGACUAGACAUGACUAUCGGUAACCUGAGUGGCAAGGUUGUCCUAGGAACAGAAGGAUGUAGAGAGGGUUAGAUAUGUCUGGAAUCAUCCCAGGUGGAGAAACAUUACUUCUCCAGGAGAACAAGUAGCGAUUUUGUUCUCUAGAGAGCUCUUCAGUGCUCAUUGGUAAGUAUUUGUUAAAUGUGCUUCCUUCUGGGUAGCUGGGUAUGGGAUGCACUGAACACUCGAUGAAUGAAAAGAGGUCCUUUUGUUUCCUGCAUCAGGCUCCAUGAUGUUAAAGAGAAGAAUCAGAAAGAAUUAUUUCUCUCCUUUUCUCUCGUGUCUUAGCAGAGCACCAUGUCGGCCUCCGAGGCAGAUGUGGUUAGAUGAUUAAAGAGGUUAUAAAAUA